UGCUGUACCAACAAGUCCGAUACAGUCAUGAUAUAACAAUAUUGUUACAUCAAGGUGUCAUCAACCUUGUAACAUUCUUGUUAUAUCAUGACUGUAUCAGACUUGUUAGAACAACC